UACGUAGGGGGCAAGCGUUGUCCGGAUUUAUUGGGCGUAAAGAGCUCGUAGGCGGUUUGUCGCGUCUGCUGUGAAAACUGGGGGCUCAACCCCCAGCCUGCAGUGGGUACGGGCAGACUAGAGUGUUGCAGGGGAGACUGGAAUUCCUGGUGUAGCGGUGAAAUGCGCAGAUAUCAGGAGGAACACCGGUGGCGAAGGCGGUUCUCUGGGCCUGUACUGACGCUGAGGAGCGAAAGCGUGGGAAGCGAACAGG
rnacentral:rRNA from 1 species